rnacentral:rRNA from 1 species
GAUGAACGCUGGCGGCGUGCCUAAUACAUGCAAGUCGAGCGAACGGACGAGAAGCUUGCUUCUCUGAUGUUAGCGGCGGACGGGUGAGUAACACGUGGAUAACCUACCUAUAAGACUGGGAUAACUUCGGGAAACCGGAGCUAAUACCGGAUGAUAUUUUGAACCGCAUGGGUCAAAAGUGAAAGACGGUCUUGCUGUCACUUAUAGAUGGAUCCGCGCUGCAUUAGCUAGUUGGUAAGGUAACGGCUUACCAAGGCAACGAUGCAUAGCCGACGUGAGAGGGUGAUCGGCCACCCUGGAGCUGAGACACGGUCCAGACUCCUACGGGAGGCAGCAGUAGGGAAUCUGCCGCAAUGGGCGAAAGCAUGACGGAGCAACGCCGCGUGAGUGAUGACGGUCUGCGGAUCGUAAAACUCUGUUAUUAGGGAAGAACAUAUGUGUAAGUAACUGUGCACAUCUUGACGGUACCUAAUCAGAAAGCCACGGCUAACUACGUG